UUCAAUCAGUAACUUCAAAAUUUCAUAGAAAGCUCCAAUAGCACUACUGGUUUUCCACAAAAGCACUUUGCCUGUAGAACUACAGGAGCAAGUAAAUUUUAGCUGAGAGCUAAGUCUCUAUAAAUGAUAUUAUUAAUAUACUUACAUUCGCACCGGCCCUCGCAGCACCAAACACCGGACAUUCCACGAUGACAUGCGGCACGGAUUCCUGCACAUCCGGAUCGCACCCACACGACGGGCUCUUCUUCCAAUGGAACAUGUUCAGAGAAUCUCCGCGGCGCUAUCCCAAAUAGAUGUCGUCGCUCCGCCUUUACCUUCGAUUUUGCUACCGUCGGUGGAAAAAAUUACAGUUCGCUGGCCCACUUCACCACCGUCCG